rnacentral:rRNA from 1 species
CGCGGCCUAUCAGCUUGUUGGUGAGGUAAUGGCUCACCAAGGCGACGACGGGUAGCCGGCCUGAGAGGGCGACCGGCCACACUGGGACUGAGACACGGCCCAGACUCCUACGGGAGGCAGCAGUGGGGAAUAUUGGGCAAUGGACGCAAGUCUGACCCAGCGACGCCGCGUGCGGGAUGAAGGCCUUCAGGUUGUAAACCGCUUUCAGCAGGGAAGAAGCGAAAGUGACGGUACCUGCAAAAGAAGCACCGGCUAACUAUGUGCCAGCAGCCGCGGUAAUACAUAGGGUGCAAGCGUUGUCCGGAAUUAUUGGGCGUAAAGAGCUCGUAGGUGGUUAGUUACGUCGGGUGUGAAACUCUGGGGCUCAACCCCAGACCUGCACUCGAUACGGGCUAGCUAGAGUUUGGUAGGGGAGACUGGAAUUCCUGGUGUAGCGUGGAAUGCGCAGAUAUCAGGAGGAACACCAAUGGCGAAGGCAGGUCUCUGGGCCAAUACUGACACUGAGGAGCGUAAGCGCGGGGAGCGAACAGGAUUAGAUACCCUGGUAGUCCGCGCCGUAAACGGUGGGCGCUAGUUGUGGGGACCUUCCACGGUCUCUGCGACGCAGCUAACGCAUUAAGCGCCCCGCCUGGGGAGU